GGUUGGGCUCCUGGGAUUCCCAUGCGCGUGGACGGUGGGUCAGAUGCUGUAGCCGCCAUCUGAAGCCGACGUGUGAAACUUCAGCUUCUUAGCAAGGGUGUCUGUACAUGCUUGUCCCCUCCCCACGGUGGCGUGCUCAAUGGUGGCUCCCCACAGAUAUGUCCGUGUCCUAAUUCCCGGAGCCUUUGGGUCUCAUGUAGCCAAUGAUGUGAAAAAGUGAAGGAUGCUGAGAGGAGAUCAUCCAGAUGUCUUAGAGGAUAAAAAUGAGCGGGCAGAUGAAGAGAUACUCAGGGUGAGGUUUGGAAGGUGCACCAGGCCCACCCCAUGGAUGUGGCUCAGAGAGCCUGGGAAACGUGAGGUCUGUGACCUGGAUCAGGCCCAGAGAGACCUGAGCAGGAGGCGUGUGAAGCCCCUGCGCCUGUGCGAGGAGGGAAGCUGUUUCAGGGAAUUUGCCUUUCUUUCCCUGUAGUUUCAGACUAGCUGAUAAAUUACCUAAAAUGUUACCACAAGAUGCACAAUGUAACCAUCA
ensembl:lncRNA novel transcript